rnacentral:rRNA from 1 species
GUGAAGCGGCAACAGCUCAAAUUUGAAAUCUGGCUCUUUCAGGGUCCGAGUUGUAAUUUAGGGCUUCGGCCCUGUCGAGAUAGAACCCUUGCCUUUUUGAGUACCUUUUCGUUUCCUCGGCAGGCUCGCCUGCCAAUGGGGACCCCCAAAAACACUUUGCAGUACCUGUAAACAGUCUGAACAAACUUUAAAAAUUAAAACUUUCAACAACGGAUCUCUUGGUUCUGGCAUCGAUGAAGAACGCAGCGAAAUGCGAUAAGUAGUGCGAAUUGCAGAAUUCAGUGAAUCAUCGAAUCUUUGAACGCACAUUGCGCCCUUUGGUUUUCCUUAGGGCAUGCCUGUUCGAGCGUCAUUUAAACCUUCAAGCUCAGCUUGGUGUUGGGUGACUGUCCGCUUGCGGACUCGCCUCAAAUGAUUGGCGGCCGGUACUUUUGGCUUCGAGCGCAGCAGAAACGCGAACUCGAGGCCUGUGUGCUGCAUACCAGAAGCUAUCUUCACAAUUUUGACCUCGGAUCAGGUAGGGAUACCCGCUGAACUUAA